rnacentral:rRNA from 1 species
GUUUGAUCCUGGCUCAGAGUGAACGCUAGCGGCAGGCUUAAUACAUGCAAGUCGAGGGGCAGCACGGUUAGCAAUAACUGGUGGCGACCGGCGCACGGGUGCGUAACACGUAUACAAUCUACCUUAAACAGGGGGAUAGCCUUUCGAAAGAGAGAUUAAUACCCCGUAAUAAAUUGAACGGCAUCGUUUGAUUUUGAAAGCUCCGGCGGUUUGAGAUGAGUAUGCGUCUGAUUAGCUAGUUGGUGAGGUAACGGCUCACCAAGGCGACGAUCAGUAGGGGAUCUGAGAGGACUAACCCCCACACUGGUACUGAGACACGGACCAGACUCCUACGGGAGGCAGCAGUAAGGAAUAUUGGUCAAUGGAGGCAACUCUGAACCAGCCAUGCCGCGUGCAGGAUGACGGCCCUAUGGGUUGUAAACUGCUUUUAUACCAGAGAAAACCCGAGUACGUGUACUCGGUUGAUAGUAUGGUAAGAAUAAGCAUCGGCUAACUUCGUGCCAGCAGCCGCGGUAAGACGAAGGAUGCAAGCGUUAUCCGGAUUCAUUGGGUUUAAAGGGUGCGUAGGCGGACCUGUAAGUCAGUGGUGAAAUCUCUUUGCUUAACAAAGGAACUGCCAUUGAUACUGCAAGUCUAGAGUAUAGAUGACGUUGGCGGAAUAUGACAUGUAGUGGUGAAAUACUUAGAUAUGUCAUAGAACACCGAUUGCGAAGGCAGCUAACGAAACUAUAACUGACGCUGAGGCACGAAAGUGCGGGGAUCAAACAGGAUUAGAUACCCUGGUAGUCCGCACCGUAAACGAUGAUUACUCGUUGUUGGCAAUAUGACCGUCAGCGACCAAGCGAAAGCGAUAAGUAAUCCACCUGGGGAGUACGCCGGCAACGGUGAAACUCAAAGGAAUUGACG